rnacentral:snoRNA from 1 species
CUCCCUGGCAAUGGGCAGAGAGACACCUUGUUGUUGUUGGUGUUCUUAUAUCAGUCAGGGCAGAGCAGAUGGUAGUCCUUUGCUUAUCCUAGCUUGAUAACUGACUUGGUAGCCAAAGCUGUCUUAUGCCUAGGACUCAUAA